UUUCAACCGUCGGAUCUGAGUAGUUUUAUAUCAAUGAUCAAUAUGUUCUUUUUUUUUUUUCCCUGUCUUUUCAGACAUAACAUUUGUUUUCUCUCUCUCACUUCUUCUUCUUCUCCCUUCUUUUCCGCCGCAGACCACCUCACUACCACGGCCACACCGCACCUCACUCCAUCUCUGCCUUAGCCACCACAGCCACACUUUCCUCCCCAAAACCAAACCCCACAAAGUUAACCCCUUUCCCUCUGUCUCGAACCAGAAACCUUUCCCUAACCCUUGCACGCGUUGCGACGCUCAACAGUUAAAACCGAUCAAUCGUUCCCAGAAAUAAAAAAUAAUGAAACCAAGGAAGAGUUUAACGAUGAGAACUCAAUCACUGUUUUGGUGUUGAUUUGUUUUUUAGGUUGAUUGUUGGUUUAUUUAUGUGAUUGGGGUUAUGCGCCUCCUCCCUCACCACCUCCGUCGCACCUCUGCCGCAAGAAAAUGGAUUUGUGCGUGAGUGAGAGAUUAGAUGGGACCAAAAGGAGUAAAAAAAGAAGAAGAAGAAGAACGAGAAGAGGGAUUUCGUUAUACGAUUUUUUCCUCUUCUACAUUUUUCUUCUUUAAUUGUUUGGUUGUGGGGUUGCAAAUGUAAACGAGGUGAGUUUUUGUUCAUGGUGGAUCUAGUUUUAUGUUGUUGUUUGUGAUGGAGGGAUUGCUGUUACGGUUAAAAAGAUGGUGAUUCCAUUAUUAUUGUUAAAGGGUUUUGGGGGUGACUGCGAUGGUGGUUGGGAAAGAAGUUUAUUUUCCACCAUAGAAUUCGUCAAGUUUGAAAGAUGUUCACUUUCCCUCCAUAGUAGCUUCAAUUGAAAACAUGCUAUUUGAUCAGACUCUAUUUAGUUAUAUUUUUUAAUAUAUCUUUGUGCUUAGGAAAGUGUGGGGCCUGUAAUAACAGCCGCUAUCCAUGCUGUGAUAAGUGUCCCUGGGCUCCAUUGUUUCCACCCGGCCCAAAGGAAACUGCAGACUUUCAAGUUGUAAGAGACAUUUUCGGAGGCCCAAAAAAUACUUACUCCUUAAUUGCAAAGGUGAAGGAAAAACAAUUUCGACCUGAAGUUGUAUAUUAUGUGAAAAGGGAGCAAUCCAGAGGGAGAUGCUAUAAGUGAAUUGGAAAUGUUAAAACUUGAAAUAAAGAACUUUAAGAGUUCUCCUCAUCCUAAAAGACAGAAAGUUGAUGAGUAAACAGGACUAAGUUUCAACCCCCAUACACUGUGAAUAGAGGGGAGAAUGUGGUUUACAAAGUAAUAGAACUAGCUAAAAAUUGGGGUCGGACUGUAUGUUCAGGAGUAGGUGGCCUAUCAACAGUAGUUUUUUGGCAAUCCAUGGAAUGAUAUUCUUAAAUGUGAGUUUUACAUGCAGGUAUGUCAUUUUGUCUAUAAUGGAAACUUAUAUCUCCUUUGAUUAUGAUGCACAACACAAAAAUGACAACUGAAUGUUUCAGUGCAGUCUGAAAAAUUGUGUUUCACUGGCUAAAUGCACAAUUGUUCCUCCAAAAGCAGCUUUUUCGGGUUCAGCCACUGAAAC